rnacentral:rRNA from 1 species
AAUUCGAUUGAGUUUGAUCAUGGCUCAGGACGAACGCUGGCGGCGUGCUUAACACAUGCAAGUCGAACGGUGAUGAGGAGCUUGCUUCUCUGAUCAGUGGCGAACGGGUGAGUAACACGUGAGCAAUCUGCCCUUGACUCUGGGAUAAGCGUUGGAAACGACGUCUAAUACCGGAUACGACUCUUGGAGGCAUCUCUGGGGGUGGAAAGAAUUUUGGUCAAGGAUGAGCUCGCGGCCUAUCAGCUUGUUGGUGAGGUAAUGGCUCACCAAGGCGACGACGGGUAGCCGGCCUGAGAGGGUGACCGGCCACACUGGGACUGAGACACGGCCCAGACUCCUACGGGAGGCAGCAGUGGGGAAUAUUGCACAAUGGGCGAAAGCCUGAUGCAGCAACGCCGCGUGAGGGACGACGGCCUUCGGGUUGUAAACCUCUUUUAGUAGGGAAGAAGCGUAACAGUGACGGUACCUGCAGAAAAAGCACCGGCUAACUACGUGCCAGCAGCCGCGGUAAUACGUAGGGUGCAAGCGUUGUCCGGAAUUAUUGGGCGUAAAGAGCUCGUAGGCGGUUUGUCGCGUCUGCUGU